rnacentral:rRNA from 1 species
UCCUACGGGGGGCAGCAGUGGGGAAUAUUGGACAAUGGGCGAAAGCCUGAUCCAGCCAUGCCGCGUGUGUGAAGAAGGUCUUAGGAUCGUAAAGCACUUUAAGUUGGGAGGAAGGGCAGUAAAUUAAUACUUUGCUGUUUUGACGUUACCGACAGAAUAAGCACCGGCUAACUCUGUGCCAGCAGCCGCGGUAAUACAGAGGGUGCAAGCGUUAAUCGGAAUUACUGGGCGUAAAGCGCGCGUAGGUGGUUCGUUAAGUUGGAUGUGAAAUCCCCGGGCUCAACCUGGGAACUGCAUUCAAAACUGUCGAGCUAGAGUAUGGUAGAGGGUGGUGGAAUUUCCUGUGUAGCGGUGAAAUGCGUAGAUAUAGGAAGGAACACCAGUGGCGAAGGCGACCACCUGGACUGAUACUGACACUGAGGUGCGAAAGCGUGGGGAGCAAACAGGAUUAGAUACCCCCGUAGUCC